GAGUGGAAGGAAGGGAGGAGCCAAGGACUUUCUCCCCUACUCUUGUUGCUCCAGGGCUCCACCUCCUCCAGGAUCCACCUCCCACAAGACAGGCCCUUGUUUCCUGGUCCUCACUAUGCAGAGAGUCUCCAUAUGAAUGCAGCUUCCCGAGGGCCUUGGGUCUCGGGCUCUAUCUACUCCACCUCCUCCAUUGUCCCUCCACUAGGGAUGUGAUAGCUUCCCAAUUCACUAAUUUCCGCCAUCUUUUUGGCUUUCAGCUCUCCCUACAUCUUUGUGGCUAGUUUCCUAAGUUAGGCUCCUUCAAUAGGACUAUUUGGCUGGACUCUACAUCUCUGGCUGGACCCCAACUAAUACAUCAGUUGAUGGAGAUGCCUUCCAAAUAUUGGACUCCUAGCAAGAAUCUCUGCCUGAAAAUAUCUCAGCAAGAUGGUGGUGUACGUAGACUCUGAACUCACCUCCUCCCACGAACACAACCAGGUUACAACUACUCUUGGAAAAGUUACCGUGGAGAGAGAGCUGAAAGCUGGAUAAAAAGAACCCCCACAACAAGGGACAGUCCUGACUGAAGUGGAAGAGGCAGAAAUUCCUUCUGGAGAAUAAAACCACCUUCAUGAGCCACAGACCUUCACAGCCAGCCAGGUGGGAGCCACCCUAAGGUACGCAGCCCUCCCUGGAGGAGUGGGGACCUGAGGGCGGCUAUGUUACCGCUAUAAGCAUCCUUCAGACUCAGCACAGCUGAGAUGGCUUCGUGGGCUAUUAACUGCAGUGGGGGUACCACCAGAAAAGCCAUUGGAAGAAAGCUGAAAAACCCAGCUCUCAAAGGGCCCACACACAAAUUCACCCGUCUCAAGGAGCAACCUAAAAUCUCCAAAAAGAAAGCUGCACAGUGCUUUGGUGAAAAGAGACUCACCUCGUAGGCUUUGGGUGCAUCUCGGUGAGAGGUGAGAUCUCUCCAGAGACUGAGACACUGGUGGUGGCCAUUGUUGUGACCUAGUCCAGGCGUGCUGACACGGAUGCCGGCAGUUGCCAAUUAAGUUCUUCCCCUGGCCUGUUAGCCCAGGGGUCUGCCCCACCCACUAGAGUGCAGAUUUAAUCCACUUCAGCCAGGGCAGGCAGCCUGCCCUAGAGACCAGCUCCACCCGACAGCAAGCCCUCAGACUACUUGUCAGCAUGCCUAGACUGAGUGUCUUGAUCCUCUACAGGCAGAUAAGCAAAUGGAGACAAACUGGUUGGCAAUCUUCUUAAGGUCAUAUAGAGGCCAAGUCAGGAUUUGAAGCCAGAUGGAACCUGUUCUCCCUAACCAGUAAGCUCUGGAAGAGAGUAAUAGGUCUGGGGAUCAUCAGGGUGGACUUCUCAGGUGAGGUGGCUUCAGCUUGGCGUGGAAGGAUCUUGAAGGUGUGCUGAGUCAUGCUUCAUUCCUAAACAACCAUAGGGAUGCAGGAACACCUGUGGUAUGUCAGGAUAAGAAGGGAAGCUGAAUGAAUGGAUGAAACUGGGGAAGCAUGUGCAAGAAGGUGAGGAGAGUGAGGCAGGACAGGGAGGCGGGACCUCAGGGAAGAGGCUGGCAGGUGCAGUAGAGGCUUGUGGGUACAAUAGAGGUUUGUAGGUACAGUGGGUGAGAUUGGAGGAAAGCACAUUGUUUUGAACUUCUGGAGAAUUAACAGGCUGUGAGUUGGGUGAAGCAAUUGAUUGACUAAAGUCAGCUAAAAAACGGUCCACCACAGACUCUCUGAGGCCAAACCUCAGCGGCUGGAGGAUUCAGUCCUUAUGCUGUGCAGACAGCUCCUCCUGAGGACUCACAUCGGACACAGCAUGCAGGCAAUCAGCCGGAAGCAAUCUAGAGCAGAGGCCAAUGGAUGCAAGCUUGUCCCACCCACCCCUAACAAGACCAGCCUGCAGUGUGGGGCACCCCAUGGUUCCGGCAUGAGCAAACAAAGGCUGAACACCGAGCUCUCCUGGCAAACACCCUUUAUCACAGAGUCCACAGACGGGAGACAGAUAAAGACUUGGAAAGACCUGCCAGUCAGACAAGCAGCCCACGGGAAGCCUGUGCACAUCCAUGUCAGGUCCGAAGAGACUUCUGUUUCACCAGCCUACCAUUGCAUCAUCAGAAGAGAAUUCCAAAAAUAUUUCAUAUUUUCAAAGGUGAUAUUGGUUCAUUCCACAGAACCAGGAAAUUAUCAAAAAGAUACUUACUUUCAUGCUAUCGAAGUACUGCUGGACUUGCAACAACUAUUGCUAACAUGUUCUUGAAUUAAGCAUCUAUUGUGUAUUUAGAGUAGAAAGUACAGUCAAGUGUUUCACUAACUGCGAGAAAUGUGGAUCCUUCAGCUACAGAGAAAACAGCUUUAAAAUCCUGACGGCCUUAGUGUCUAAAAUCCUCCAUGAUUUGGCCUCAAAUUUCUGUGUCUUCCAGUGAGCAGAAGAGAGCAGAGAUCUUGGAUCGUUUUGAAAGAAUAUCACCUUUUUAAAAAAGAAUAUCAACGUAGUUAUUGCGGCCACUCCAUGGACGCGGGAUGGGCCCCCAUCCAAUAUGUGGUUCCCACAUCAAGACUGAUGACGUCACUCAAUCACCCAAAGUGCAUGAAAAGAUUUGUUACCAGCCUCCCAAGUUGGUCCCUGACGACUCGGGAGAGCAGGAGAGGAGACUUUCGUGGGGUCUUUCUGGCCCUUAGGAGCUGGCUGGGUGAGGACUCCUGCGUGCUUUGAACCUUCCCAAUGGUGCCGAAGAAAGGAGCGUGUGGGCACUCCUACCCAUGUGCCCAGAUGGGGCAGAAGGGAACAGGGAGGAGGAGACUUGAAAGACAUCUGCAGCCAGUUGUCAGAAAUAGAGUCAGGUUUUUUAUUACAGAAACUAUCAUAGGAAAAAUCAGAAUUCGUGGGGAAGAAUGUACACUGUCAUCUUUGUACUGUUGCUAAUGAUCUGUUUCAUGGUGGGUGGGGAUCACUUCCUUCUCAGCAUUUAAGGCCUCAGCGUUGUGACUGGCCUGGGCUCCAACUUACCUUUCUCCCCUUAUUUUCCACUCUUGUCUUUGGAAGCAGCCCUGAGCCACGAGAACCAUGGUCAGCUCUCUGCCGUGACCUCCGCUCCUGCCCAGCUCUGGUCCUGGAAGCCUUUCCCACCUAUUUGCUGUGUAUGAGUCUUAUCCGUCUUCAAGUCCAGUUCCAACGCGUGAAACUUUUUCUGGUUCCACCUCUUGGAAGAGAUUCUUGCUUCUUCUCAAGCCCCUGAGCAUAUUUUGUUUCCUCUUAGACCACUUGUUCUCUAGCCAUGUCUGCAAGGGCCUGGAGACCAGAAUCCAAGAGACCCACUGAUUUUUCUGUCUUCCACACUGUCUUCCUCAGAGGUGUCUGUGCCAGGAGGUUGAGAACCUCAUUUCACACACUGUUAUUCCCUUAACACUUGGAGCAGUGCCUGGCACAGAACUGGUGCUCACUGUAUACCAUUCUGUAAAUAAAUAAUAGAUGAAUAUGUGUUGAAUAAAUGAAAGCUAAAUUCAUAGAGGCUGUCUGAUUCAAACUUGUAUUAUAUCCUUAAAUUGCUUCUUAGGCAUUGCUUAAAUAAAAGGGAAAUGCACGUUUUCUUGAGAGUUUGGUGUCUCAAGGUAGAGUUGGCUGUUGAGCUAAUUUAAAGGGGAAAUCAGUACUAGGCUGGGCAUUCACAACUGGGUGUCUCUGAUACGGUCCUGGGACAGAGAAUCUAGCAUUUUCAGAGGCUUCUCAGGACUGACUGUGGCUGACCCAGGGAGUAUUGCACAGCCGGCGGACCGUCGUGAAGGUGCUGGACAAGCACAGACAUUGCCCUGCCUCUGGUUUUCAGAACCUGUGCCAGUUCUGUUCUUCUUUUUAUCACAGCUGCAGACAAAAUUGGCAGAUGCUGAGAGCUGUGCACACAUGGUCCUGGUCCGUGCCCACAUGCGCAGCGUUUAUUGCAGGCCAACCCAGGAGAGGAUACCAGACACGAGUAAGCUCAGUUACGGAACUUGGGGGUAAGAGUGAGGGAGGUAGAUCUAACGGGGGAAGAGAAAGCAGGAAGGAAAGCUCCAAGGAGGAAAUUUUGCCUCAAUGCUCACAGCCCUACUCAUCUCCAGGAAGGCACAAGCUGAAGGCUGUCUGCAGAAGCUUAUGGUACCAGAGCCCACGUACGUGAUCCCCAGAUAAGGGCGUCAAAGUCCAGCACCAAAAACUCCAGAUUUCAACUGAUGGUUGUUAAAAAAAGUCUCCUUACCUUUCUCUGUGUCUCUUCAUGUUUGAGAACUUGCCUGGCCUUCACUCUCAAGUUACAGAUGCCACAGAGGAAAGAGCAAAGGGAGAAGAGAAGGUCCCCUAUUCUAGAAAGGGGUGAUCAAUGAUCAGUGGGAUCAGAGGACUGACCACAAAGCUGAUUACUAAGAGCCGUGGGGAGACUCACUUUCCCCUUCUUGAAUCUGCACUGGUUUUGCGAUUUGCUUUGAUGGAAGUGACAUUGUAUGCAUUCAGAGCCCAGGCCUCAAAGGUCUUGCGGGAUCUGCCUGUGCCCUCUUGGAUGCUGCCCUGAAAUUCCCACAGAGGAGCCAGUCUAGCUUACAGGAAGGUGGGAGGCCACAUGGAGAAGAACCAAGGCUCCUGAGCCAGGAGUCAGCACCCACUGCCAACGUGAGGGAGGCAUCUGGGACCUUCCAUUUCUGCCGAACCACCGAGUGCAGUCGUGUGGGGAGCGCAGGAGAAACCAGCAGAGGAGCAGCCUGCCAGCUCAAGGAUCCGGGAAAAACAGUAAACCACAUUGUUCUUGGCCACUAAGCUCUGGGGUGAUUUGUCACAGGGCUGAAAAUAGCCGAUGCACAGCCUGCUUGUGAGUUUCACAUUUACUUACUCGACAUGGAUGGUGCUGCUUGAGUGUCAUGUUUGUAUUAGGAAGCAGUGAAAUGAGACUUCAGAAGCUGGCUGACACCAGACUCAUGCUUUGCAAAUCAGGAUGGGCUGACAAUUAAGAAGGAAAUAGAACAGAACAGAUGUCAGCAUCACACAUAGCAAAGCUAUGGACAUGCCUGAAAUGAAUGAAAGUUGGAAGCUUCAGCAAGGAAACAGAAGCUCUCACCAAAGAAACAGGUGACAUAAAGAAGCAAACAAAAAUUUUAGAGGGUAAAAAUGUAGCAACCAAAAUAAAAAGCUCAGUAGAUGGAUUGACAAGCAGAAUGGAGGGACAGAGGAAAGAAUCAGUCAACUAAAAGAUAGAAUAAGAAAUUACCCAAUCCAAAUAACAGAGAAAAAAUUGAGCAAAAAAUUAUGAACAGAGCCUGCCUCAGGCACCUGUGGGAUG
rnacentral:lncRNA from 1 species